GUGACGUCCGGCUUUCCUGGUGCUGAAGGACAGACUCCCUUCUCGGGCUGCUUUCCAAAAACUCCAACAGACUGAAAAUGUUGAGCUUAUGAACGAAAUUCACUUUUUUUUUCAACGGGGAAGACAAUUUCUUAAUCAGGGAAAAGCCCUGCAUCCACAGUAGGCAGAAGGGCUGUGCACAGAUGAAGAAAAGUUUUUUUUUUUAACUUGUACAUAGCAAAUUUUUAUUUUUAUGUGCUGAUUUUAUGGCAGAUGUAAAUUAUUUUUCUUGGGAAUAAAGUUUACAUGUAAGUGGAUGUAGUUGUUGUUUGAGUGUUACAAGCGACUGAAACAGUUUGAUGCCAGAUAACAACACAGUAACACCCAUGCGUUGCGCAAGGGACUAUUUCUCUUAUCUUCUCUUCCUUGUCUGGCUCCACCCUUUGUUGUUUAAUAACUUUUAUAUGCCACACAGGAAUCAGAUUUUUCUCUCAUGGUCACUUUUUUUAAUGUUACUUUUUGAAGUGGGUAAACAGCACCCUAGGUGUUCUCCCACUAUUUUAUUCCAAAUCAUCAGGGCCAGAAAUACAAGGCCAAUAUUUCUAUUUUUUUCCAAACCCAGCUGUGGGCCUGCGAUAAGGCCUGGAUCUGUGGAUGCUGGAAUGUAACAUGUUUAUUAAAUGAAGCCACAUCCAGCGAUAGAGCUGUAAAAUCUCUUGUCAUCAUUAAGGAAACAUAUUUCUCCUCUGUCAGACGGUGUCAUAAAAAAAAAAAAUGCGAGACGUAGACACGAAGGAAUGUGACCUGACUGUUCAAACUCUUCCUUCUCAUCAGUCUGACUUCAGACUCACAGGCGGCACUGAGAAGAGAAGAAGCAUUUCUUUUCAUUUAUUUCACUCUGAACAUUUUUCAUGUCCUACAGAUAAACUGGUAAAGCUGUGAAUAAUCGCAGAGACUGUUAAGCGCAGUCAGCUACUCCUAUCAUGGAUUAUCCCGCCUAUCUUGGCCGCUGCCUGCUGUUUUUCUUCAUCGCCGUCCUCUUGGAUGUAGCAGGCCUCAUUCUCUUCUUCAUUGGGGUCUUUGCUCCCCUCAGCUUCUGGGAUUUCUUCGUCUUCUCAGGACCCCUCAUUAUCUUCCUCAGCCUGGUGUUCUGGAUCUUCUGGUACCUCGGAAACCUGGAGGUGCCAAUGGAGAAACUACUCCCAAAAUAAUAUUCGUGGCUUCUUAAUUUGCAGCACAAAGCAGUUUUCUGGCAACUGGAGCUGGAAAAUGAAACCAAAGCUACGGCUACAGGCUGAAAAUGAACAGCUUCUACUCGAUCUCGUUGGUGGAGCUUUGUAUAUUUGCUUCACCACCCAAAGAAACAUGGGACUGGACUUUCACAGGGGGGGGGUUAAAUAAGGGUGGCACAUUUGUAAAAUUAGUAAAAAUGUGUUAAAACUCAAACUCUACAUUAAUAAUAGUUAUUAUUCUGUGCAGUGUUUGCAGUGGUUUUGUCUUUUUGUUGUCAUUUUGCAUCUCUUGUAGUCUAGUCUACGUGUGUGUGUGUGUGUGGGGGGUUAUUGAUUUCCUUCUAAGGCCGUUGUUCCUGAUCAGUCUCUGUGGUGAUUUUCCUGUUGUGAAAUCUGAGUAUUGGACACUCAACCCAUUCAUCAGAAACCAGUCAAACUGGGUCCAUUAGCUACCGGGGCAGGGAGUGCUCUCAUUUUACAAGAACGGUUUGUAGAGAUUCAGUCGUGAUAUGUGCUCUUGUAUAAUCUUUACAUCAAGUAUGUUUGUUGUAAAUUGUUUCUCUGUUACUAAAGAAGACACACCCUACUUAGUGUGGCUGAUAUUUAAGCUGAGCACCAGAAUAAUCCUCAGCCUUAGCGACACAGGCCGCAAGAAUAGAGCUUCAACAAGACAAACAAAGAGACGACGGAGAAAACAAACAAAACGAACCAUUUUCUAGAAAAGUAGAUGAUACGACAUGUUUGAUUCAACUAAAUAAUGGAUUUCAAAAUGCAGUUGCAGUGUUUACACCCUCUUAGACGUCUUUGCACAACCCAUAUUUACUCGGCUCUUCACAGUCUCUUUUCAAAAGCUGUUGUCAAAGAGUGGGACCACGCAACCAUUUAGCCUUGCACAAGGGGAGUAUUUGGAAACGUGUCAGCCGUGCAUUUCUAACUCAUAACUACACCCUAACGGCCCAAACAGCUCCAGCAGAAUUGAGCUGGUCGACGAGUGAUUCUAAUGGGUCACAAUCCCUCCGUCUCCGUGGCUUCAGGUUCCACCUCACACCUAACGUGUCUUUCCAUUACCUGUUGCCAGCCUGCUGUACAGUGCACGGCCAGCGUGCACACGCAAACACACUCCUACACCUGCCCUGGGUCGCCUGAACAUGACACUGUUUGACUCAGCGCUGUGGUGACAAAGGGGACGGGGAUUAAGUUCUGCGAGGCCCGUCAGUGUAGUGUUUGGUUGUUGUGGCUCCUUCCAGCACUUCACACUGCAGCAGCAGUUGAUGUGAUGGAGUUUCAGAGUAAAGCUCAGUGGUACUGAGGUAUUUUAUGUAAGUAAAACUUGCAACACCACAUUACAAGUAAAAGUCCUGUAUUUAAAGUUGUACUUAAGUAAAAGUGCAGAAGUAUUAUCAGCAAAAUGUACCUAAAGUAGCAAAAGUAAAAGUACCUGCUAUGAAGAAUGGCUCCUUUCACAGUGUUACAUUUAUCAUAUAUAUUAUUGGAGUUUUAUUAUGUGUAAGCAGCGUUUUUGUGUUGUCAAAGUGGAGACAAGUUUAACUACUUCACACACUGUGGUUGAAUCUGUAACAAUGCAACAUCUUACAUUUGCUGAUCGUGUGUUUUGGAUUAAAGUUUUAAUCUGAAAAGUAACUAGUGACUGUAGCUGUCAGAUUAACGGAGUGGAGUAAAAAGUACAACAUUUCCCUCUGACAGUAGUGGAAAGUACAUUUACUCAUGUACUGCACUUAAAUUUUGAGGUACUUGUACUUGAGUAUUUCCAUUUUCGACUACUUUAUACUCCUGCUCCACUACAUCUCAGAGAGAAAUACUGUACUUGACUACAUUUAUUUGGCAGCUGUAGUUACUAAUUACUUAUAAAACAUACGACAUAUGUCUGUGAGUUAUUAGCAGUUCCACCAAAGAGACAUAUUCCCUCCCUACACUUCUCACAUGGUGUUAAAAAUUGUUAAAGGCCCAAACAGGUCAAAUUAUCCAACAUUUCACGAAUAACCAAGCAAAGAUUAGAGAAAGCUCCAGCAAUGCAAAUUUAUAAAGCAGAACUAUCUUCUUUCCUCUUCCAUUAAUCAUCUCACAACCACUCACAUUUAUCUGGGGACCCUUUAGAGGGACCUGACCCCUAGAUUCAGAAUCACUCGACUAAACUACCUCAAUGUAUAUAAAGCAGUUCCACGUCGAGCCGCUACAACAGUAAAAUGCUACUUACAUAUUUUUGCAAUAGUAUCAACAGUCUAAUAUUGUCGUAUGUGAUAAUAAUAAUAAUAUUACCAGUCACAGGGGACAUUUUUAUACAGAACGAGUAUGUUUACUUUUGGUAAUUUAAGUACAUUUUGCCGAUAAUACUUCUUCCACCACUGUCCUCUGAAUUGUUGUGGAGUAGAAGUAUAAAGUAGCAUAAAAUGGAAAUACUCAAGUAAAUUCCCAGUACCUCACAAUUGUAUUUAAGUACAGAACAUGAGUACUUAGUUACUUUCUACCACUGGUAAAGUCUAAAUCUUCCUGGUUCUUUUCAGCCAAAUGUUCCGCCCUGAUCACAGCCACAUAAAUCCAGUCUGUAACACCUGAUAUUCUGUCCACAUUCAAAAUUCAUUACAGAACUGUUCAGUUAUGUUUCCUGUAAGUUAACUCCUCAUUUAAGGAUCUAAUUUAUAUUAGUUUCCCUUUCACUGAAUGGGUGUGCCUUAAUGAGGUGCUAAAUCACCGAAAAGAAUUUCAUUAGUCUAGUUUCAGUGGGGAGCUGCUGUGUACCAAGAUGUUAGAAAGCCGACUUUUCAUACCAUUCAUACCAGUGUUUCAAUAAUUUAAAUGAACAAGGUACAUUCAGUAAGUAGGAAUAAUUAGCAAGUUUCAAAGGGAAUCUCAGUUAUAUGAGGCAUCAAUUAAUCCUUGUUCAGUUUGGUGGUUAUUUGCUUUAAGAUUAACUGCUUUAAUGUUUUACUUUUUAUUUACAUCUACUCUAUAUUACUUACUUAUUUUAGAGUAAAAUCAAUCUUCCAUUCUGGUUAUACAAGCUCCUGCGUAGAUUAAAAAGAAACCCUGGUUGUUCUGCUUAACAGUAGUGCUCAUACUCAUGUACCGUGCUGUAUUCCUCGCCCUCCUAAAUAUGCAUUAUGUCCAUAAAUUGUCGCUAAUUUCAAUAAUGCCAAUUAUUAGUGGGUACAAUGAGGUUUAUAGGCCUACUCACAGUAAAAUAGUGUCUCUUUAAACUGCCCCUAGAAAGGUUAAUACUGUGGCUUUUACAGGGAUGAUGUCAGAGCUCUAUGCGAAACAGAAGUUGUUGUUUUCCUGCUGGGGUAGCAUGUUUCAGAAUCCCAUCACAUUUUGGAAAUGAGUCAAAGUGUGUUAAGACUCAAAUUUAAAGCCCUGGUUCUUAAUAAACCGUACAUUGUUACAGUCACAAAAUGUAUCCAUUGUGAUAAAUGAAUGUCAAAUAAACAACUUUAAUUAACAACUGCUAUUUUUAACUCCAAAUAGCCUACAGAUCUGGACAGAUUAUGAGACUGUGGGCCCCUGGACACAGACGUGUAAAAGGACACCCAGACUAUGUCUCUUUGUAGUUGAUUUGCGUCUCUUUGUGGUCAUUUUGGUUGACCAGGGGGAAAAUAUGGAGUGGAACUAAGGUGAAUGUAGGGAAAUAAAAAAACAAGAGUUUGCUGA